rnacentral:misc_RNA from 1 species
GAUGAAGAACGCAGCGAAAUGCGAUACUUGGUGUGAAUUGCAGAAUCCCGUGAACCAUCGAGUCUUUGAACGCAAGUUGCGCCCGAAGCCAUCAGGUUGAGGGCACGUCUGCCUGGGCGUCACAUAUCGUUGCCCAAUGCCUAUUGCAGUGCAAUAGGAAUUUCUAGGGCGAAUGAUGGCUUCCCGUGAGCGUUGUUGCCUCGCGGUUGGUUGAAAAUCGAGUCCUUGGUAGGGUGUGCCAUGGUAGAUGGUGGUCGAGUUAGAACGAUACCGAUCAUGUGCAUGCUCCCCAAAAUAUGGCCUCUAUGACCCACACGCGUCUUUGACGCUCAUGACGAGACCUCAGGUCAGGCGGGGCUACCCGCUGAAUUUAAGCAUAUCAAUAAGCGGAGGA